UUCCCCUAACUUCAACCGUGCCCCUUGUUUUUCGAUGAAACCCUAACCCUUCUUCUCUUUGUUCUCCUCCCUCGUUCUACUCUGUUUCCAGUCGACUAUCCCUUCUCACCCAAAAUUUAAGUUAAAUAAUUGUAGAAACGAUGGAGGCGGCUUCUUCUCUUUGUUCUCCUCCCUCGUUCUGCUCUGUUUCCAGUCGACUAUCCCUUCUCACCCAAAAUUUAAGUGAAAUAAUUGCAGCAACGAUGGAGGCGGUUGUAAGGUGUUGAUGAGAAGAAUUAGUGGGUGGAUGAGAGGAAUUAUUUGGUUGAAGAGCAUAUGAGUUUAUUGCAGUUAUUGCUCUAAAGUUAUUUUAAUAUAUGCCAUCUACUCUACUCUGAUGUUUGUUAACAAUCCUAAGGGCCGGAAAUGAACUCUGUAAAGGCGUUUCAAGGCAAUUUCUAUUGUUCCGGUUGCAAGUAUGAAUUAAAGAUGCUACUUUGGGUUGCAAGUAUGAAGAUAUAUGUAUUUGUGUAUGAAUUGAAGACGUUGUUCAGGAAGUUAGUGUAUAUCACUUUCAUCUUUAAUGAUAUAUAUAUAUAUUUGUGUUAUUUUGAAACUUUUGUAA
rnacentral:lncRNA from 1 species